AAUGAGGAUAAAUUUAGAUUAGAUGUUAGGGACAAAUAAAACCCUUCUUCCCUGUGCCGGUGGUGAGGUGCUGGCACAGGGUGCCCAGGGAAGCUGUGGCUGCCCCCGCCCUGGAAGGGUUCAACGCCAGGUUGGAAGAACUU